rnacentral:rRNA from 1 species
UACGGAGGAUCCAAGCGUUAUCCGGAUUUAUUGGGUUUAAAGGGUGCGUAGGUGGUUUUUUAAGUCAGGGGUGAAAGACGGCAGCUUAACUGUCGCAGUGCCUUUGAUACUGAAGAACUUGAAUCCACUAGAGGUAGGCGGAAUGUGACAAGUAGCGGUGAAAUGCAUAGAUAUGUCACAGAACACCAAUUGCGAAGGCAGCUUACACUACUGGUGUAUUGACACUGAGGCACGAAAGCGUGGGGAUCAAACAGG